GAGGUCGGGCUGGCUCUGCCCCAGCGGGUGGGGGCGCGGCCUGGGCUCCGUGGCGCUGCCGUGCCGUGCCGGGUCUGCCCUGUGAGGGACUCGGCCCUGGCUCGGUGAGCCCCGCCUGCGACGAGAGCUCGUGCCAGGUCCUGCUCUGUGGGUCGCUGCCGCCCCGGUUCUGCCAGCAGAGGCACGGGGAGGUUGUCUGGGCUCUGCCGGGAUGCUGCAGCCCUUGAAGCGCGCGUUGGGCAGUGCCGGGAUGACCUGGUGGCCCGCGUCCUGGGCAAUGCGCAUGGAGGUCAGGGCAGGCUCUUCCGCUGGUGCCCAGCCCGGGAAGAAGCAGGGCCUGGAGAAGCUGAGCGCCAAGCUGGCAGCAGGGCCGACGCUGCAGCAGUUCUUAAGAGCUGCCUCCCCGCCUCAGGAGCCUCCGUGUGAGCUGACAGAAGGGCUGGAGGAGCCGGUGCCGUAUCUGGUGCCCAGCACCCUCCCAGAGGCAGGGAGGAAAGUGUACCUGGAGACCUACGGCUGCCAAAUGAACGUGAAUGACACAGACAUCGCCUGGGCCAUCCUCCAGAAGAAUGGCUAUCUGAGGACCAAGAGCUUGGAGGAGGCAGAUGUCAUUCUCCUCGUCACCUGUUCCAUCAGGGAGAAGGCCGAGCAGGCCAUCUGGAACCGCCUGCAGCAACUAAAGGCUCUGAAAUCCAAGCGGCGCCGGACACAGGCUCCCCUCCGAAUUGGCAUCCUUGGCUGCAUGGCUGAGAGGCUGAAGGAGAAGAUCCUGCACCAGGAGAGGCUGGUGGACAUCGUGGCAGGCCCUGACGCCUACAGAGACCUUCCCCGUCUGCUGGCGGUGGAUGCCGAUGUCCUGCCUGUCCAGACCAGCCUGAAUGCUACCUCCGCAUUUGUCUCCGUCAUGCGAGGCUGCGACAACAUGUGCAGCUACUGCAUCGUCCCCUUCACCCGUGGCCGUGAGAGGAGCAGGCCCAUUGCCUCCAUCCUGCAGGAAGUGAAAAUGCUGUCGGAUCAGGGGGUGAAGGAGGUGACCCUGCUGGGCCAGAAUGUCAACAGCUUCCGGGACACCUCUGAGGUCCAGUUCUGCUCGGCUGCUGCACCCAGCCUGAGCCGUGGUUUCAGCACCAUCUACAAGGCCAAGCCAGGAGGCCUGCGCUUCUCCCACCUCCUGGACCAGGUCUCCCGCAUUGACCCUGAAAUCCGCAUCCGCUUCACCUCCUCACACCCCAAGGACUUCCCCGAUGAGGUGCUGCAGCUCAUCCAGGAAAGGCACAACAUCUGCAAACAGUUGCACCUCCCUGCGCAGAGCGGCAGCACACGCAUCCUGCAGGCCAUGCGGCGCGGAUACACCAGAGAAGCUUACCUGGAGCUGGUGCACCACGUGCGGGACUCCAUCCCAGGGGUGAGCCUCAGCAGUGAUUUCAUCGCGGGCUUCUGUGGGGAGACGGAAGAGGACCACCAGCAGACGCUGUCCCUGCUUCGGGAAGUGGGCUACAAUGUAGGCUUCCUCUUUGCCUACAGCAUGAGGCAGCAGGUGGGAUAUCACAGGGUAUUGAAUCCCCUGUGUGACGCUCCAAAGGGAUGUGGCAGCGUGUGUGAAAACUCAGGCGUACCACCGACUGCAGGACGACGUGCCGGCAGAGGUGAAGCACCAGCGGCUGAAGGAGCUCAUCUCCGUCUUCCGGGAGGAGGCAGCCAGGGUCAAUGGGGCCUUGGUGGGUUGCACACAGCUGGUGCUGGUGGAAGGGCCCAGCAAGCGCUCAGCCUCAGAGCUGAGCGGCCGCAACGAUGGCAACAUGAAGGUGAUAAUUGCUAACCGUGAGCUGGAGGACAGGGCUGCAGCCAGAGCUCAGCCAGGUGACUACGUGCUGGUGAAGAUCACCUCUGCCAGCUCCCAGACACUGAGGGGAGUCUUGCUUCGCCACACCACCCUCCGGGAAUCAGCAGUUUACUGCUGAUGCCUGGCUGCCACCACUCAUGACCAGCUGCUGCUCAGGAGGGAAUAGAAUCCUGCCCUGGUCCCUGCAACCUGGUCAAGUGCAGCUGGCUCUGUGGGAAACCCAUGUGCCCCCAGCACUACAAAGACACUGCAGCCCUGCUGCUUGUGGGAAAUGUGACUCCAGUUCAGGCAGAGAGCCUGAGCAAGGGUAGAAACUGGGAUUGGGGGGAGCGUGGGUCUGUGUUCUGUGCACCCGGGGGGCUGGUCCCUGGCCAGAGCGGGGAUGGGGAGAAGGAGGGGCUGGCAUUGCCCCACCAUGGUUUGUGAAUGUCUUGAGGCUGUUGGGCGGGAGGGUACCAGGGAAGUGCAAAUUACAGAAUGUGCUCUUUUCAAAUGUGUGUCUGAUACUUCUCGUCACCAUUGGAGGAGGGGUGGAAGGACAGGUCCUGCUCCGUCCAGAGGGUAGAGGGGUCCUGGGAGCACAGCAGUGCUUGGGUUACAGUU